rnacentral:rRNA from 1 species
GACGAACGCUUGCGGCGUGCUUAACACAUGCAAGUCGAACGGAAAGGCCCUGCUUUUGUGGGGUGCUCGAGUGGCGAACGGGUGAGUAACACGUGAGUAACCUGCCCUUGACUUUGGGAUAACUUCAGGAAACUGGGGCUAAUACCGGAUAGGAGCUCCUGCUGCAUGGUGGGGGUUGGAAAGUUUCGGCGGUUGGGGAUGGACUCGCGGCUUAUCAGCUUGUUGGUGGGGUAGUGGCUUACCAAGGCUUUGACGGGUAGCCGGCCUGAGAGGGUGACCGGCCACAUUGGGACUGAGAUACGGCCCAGACUCCUACGGGAGGCAGCAGUGGGGAAUAUUGCACAAUGGGCGGAAGCCUGAUGCAGCAACGCCGCGUGCGGGAUGACGGCCUUCGGGUUGUAAACCGCUUUCGCCUGUGACGAAGCGUGAGUGACGGUAAUGGGUAAAGAAGCACCGGCUAACUACGUGCCAGCAGCCGCGGUGAUACGUAGGGUGCGAGCGUUGUCCGGAUUUAUUGGGCGUAAAGGGCUCGUAGGUGGUUGAUCGCGUCGGAAGUGUAAUCUUGGGGCUUAACCCUGAGCGUGCUUUCGAUUCGGGUUGACUUGAGGAAGGUAGGGGAGAAUGGAAUUCCUGGUGGAGCGGUGGAAUGCGCAGAUAUCAGGAGGAACACCAGUGGCGAAGGCGGUUCUCUGGGCCUUUCCUGACGCUGAGGAGCGAAAGCGUGGGGAGCGAACAGGCUUAGAUACCCUGGUAGUCCACGCUGUAAACGGUGGGUACUAGGUGUGGGGUCCAUUCCACGGGUUCCGUGCCGUAGCUAACGCUUUAAGUACCCCGCCUGGGGAGUACGGCCGCAAGGCUAAAACUCAAAGGAAUUGACGGGGCCCCGCACAAGCGGCGGAGCAUGCGGAUUAAUUCGAUGCAACGCGUAGAACCUUACCUGGGUUUGACAUGGAUCGGGAGUGCUCAGAGAUGGGUGUGCCUCUUUUGGGGUCGGUUCACAGGUGGUGCAUGGCUGUCGUCAGCUCGUGUCGUGAGAUGUUGGGUUAAGUCCCGCAACGAGCGCAACCCUUGUUCACUGUUGCCAGCACGUUAUGGUGGGGACUCAGUGGAGACCGCCGGGGUCAACUCGGAGGAAGGUGGGGAUGACGUCGAGUCAUCAUGCCCCUUAUGUCCAGGGCUUCACGCAUGCUACAAUGGCUGGUACAGAGAGUGGCGAGCCUGUGAGGGUGAGCGAAUCUCGGAAAGCCGGUCUCAGUUCGGAUUGGGGUCUGCAACUCGACCUCAUGAAGUCGGAGUCGCUAGUAAUCGCAGAUCAGCAACGCUGCGGUGAAUACGUUCCCGGGGCC